rnacentral:lncRNA from 10 species
GCCUCUCCCACGGCCACGGCCGAGCGGGCUCCACGGCUCCAGGAGUUCGCCGCGCUAGCUGCCUCCCCCUGCGUCCGCGUCUUGGUACGCGCCGCAGCGCCUGAGGACUAAGUAGGGAGCGCUCGGGUGACUCACCCGCCGCGGGGACUGGGGGAGAGGGGGAGCAGGGCUGGGACUCCCCUUUCCCACCCUGGAGUUUGGGGGCUCUGGCACUGGGGCUGAGAGGGCAGCUUCGAGUCCAAAUUCUCGCUCAAACCCACCUAAACCAAAGCGGCCCGGGGGACGUCGGGAGGCAUGAAGGAGAGUCACAAGGAGACCCCUGAAAGGGUUUCGCUUUCCUGGCCCUGCCCUUUGUCCUGACUUCUAGAAGGUCAGUUCUCUAGUUCUUCAUUGUCCAGAGAUUAGGCCCAGUGAGAUACUGUCCCCCUUGCCCCCCUUCCCUCCAGUUUCUCCUUCCUUUAAGCAGCUCCAGAAAGCGGCCAUUUGGAGGGAUAGAGUGGGAAACAAAAGGGUCAGGGGCUCAGGCAACCUGGGAGCAGCCUGUCCUGGGAUGUGUGCGUAUCUGGGGGCUUGGACACUCUUGGGAAGGCCUGGGAAGGGAAUAGUGUCCCCUCUGGCCCAAAAACAUUAGAAAAGGAUGAUGAUAGAAGGGCGGCAACUGGAGCCAGUAACCUUGAGCUAGUGACUUAACUUUUCUAAAAUCUAAUUUGCUCUCCUACAAAAUCAGAAAAAUAGUAGUGCCAUGAGGUAUCUUGGGGUCUUUGUAAAGAUUAAAUAAGGCAAUGGAAAUGAAGUGCUGAGCACAGAACCUGGCAUCUAGGAAGUGCUCAGUAAACAAGUAUAAUGGUGAUGAAGGCAUUGAUGAGUAAAAGUGGAAGGACGAGGAGCAGAUCCCCCAUCUUUGUGUCAGUCAUCUUAUCUGCAGGGUGGGGGGACUGCGGGGAUGACGGAGUUCAUGACAGUCCUUUGUGAGGUCAGGGGCCUCACAGCCUGCCUCUUCCAGAGCUGGACAGGCCAGACCUGACUCAGGCAGUGACCAGACUCAGGAGAAUUCAGGAACACGUAUGGGGAGAGAGCCCUCUGGAAUGGUUCUUCUCCCACCUCCCACCCCUUGUCUUGAGAUUACUGCAGGGAUGGAGAUGGAUGGAUGGAUGGAUGGGAGUCGCGAGAUACCCACAUUGGCUACGGCUCAAGACUAGUGGCUGGCUGUGGUGGCUCACACUGUAAUCCCAGCAAUUUGGGAGGCCAAGGUGGGAGGAUCCUUGAAGUCAGGAGUUCGAGAUCAGCCUGGCCAACAUGGUGAAACCCUGUCUCUGCCAAAAAUACAAAAGUUAGCCAGGUGUGGUGGUGGGUGCCUGUAAUCCCAGCUACUCCAGAGGCUGAGGCAGGAGAAUCGUUUGAACCCCAGAGGCGGAGGUUGCAGUGAGCCAAGAUCAUGCCACUGCACUUCAGCCUGAGCAACAGAAUGAGACCCUGCCACAACAAAACAAACAAACAGCCAAACAAACAAAAGGAAUAGUGGAGGUGGAAAUGGCAGCUAAAAAUGAACAGAUAGGCCAGGGACAGCCCACGUAGGAGGACUUGAAUGCCAAAUGCUUGGAAACAAGCAUGGGGAGCUGUUGAAGAUUAUGGGGUUUUUCAGUAGAGGAAGGGUGAGCAGACUUUAGAACUGGAAAUCUAUUGUCUUUGGGAUUGACUGUGGGGAGCUCACUAAAAAGAGCCCCUGGUAUUAGCCUACAUCAGGGGGUUCUCAACCAAGGGCAAUUUUGCCCCCCAGGAGACAUUUAGCCAUGUUUAGAGACAUACGGCGGUGGGCGGGGGGUGUGUCUCUAAACAUGGCAGCUACCGCGUAGAAGCCAGGGAUGCUGUUUACCAUCCUACAUUGCGUAGGACCAUCCUCACAAUAAGGAAUUCUCAGGUGCAAAAUGUCAGUAGUGCUAAGGUUGAGGAACCCUUCCCUAGCUUGAGGGUGAGGCACUCACAAGAUGUUGGUGCUGGAGACCAGCAGAGCAUCUGGGAGUUAGGCAGCUUAAACGACAGUUCUCCUGGCCAGACCUGAAGGUUUCCUGUGCUGCUGAUGAGUCCACAGGGAGUGUGCGGAGGAUGGCUGAGGAGGGGCCUGGAGAGCACCCGUGUUCCGUGAUUGAGGCAGUUGGUGGACAGAGGAAGUGGACUCCUCUCCAUUCUCCUCCUCACUGGCCAGGAUCCCUGGCAGAUUCCAGGCCCCAGCAACCAAGAGGGUUAAGAGUGUCUCUCUCUGAGUUUGGGGCUAGGUAACGCUGCAUGGGGCACCACAAAUAGACAUCCCAGAGAAGGAGCAAGUAGGGUACUUGCUGAAACCCUAACAUAAGAGGCUGAAGUCCCAACAGCAUUCCCUGCAGUCUUUGGCGAGCGACAGGGACCUCUGGACCAGGGCAGUAGGAGAUCGUGGCCCAGGGCAGUCUCCUCCUUCUGCACGGAAACAGGCAUGAGUGAGCUGUUCCUUUCACCGCAAGGUUGGGCUGGGGCUGGGGGAAGCCCACAGAAUGGGGAUCAGAAAUAUGUUCCUAUCCUGGCCAGGCACAGUGGCUCACGCCUAAUCCCAGCACUUUGGGAGGCCAGUGCAGGUAGAUCACUUGAGCUCAGGAGUUCGAGACCAGCCUGGGCAACAUGGCGAAACCCUGUCUCCACCAAAAAUACAAAAAAUUAGCCAGGCAUCGUGGUGCGUGCCUGUAGUCUGAACUACUCAGGAGGCUGAGGUGGGAGGAUCACUUGAGCCCGGAAGGUCAAGGCUGCAGUGAGCCAUGUUUGUGCCACUGCACUCCAGCCUGGACGACAGAGACCCUGUCUAAAAAAAGAGAGAAAAGAUAGUAAAAAAAAUCUUUAAAAAAAGAGUAUACUAAAGAAAUUUUUGGCCAGGCGGGGGUGGCUCACACCUGUAAUCCCAGCACUCUGGGAGGCCGAGGUGGGCAGAUGACCUGAGGUCAGGAGUUCACGACCAACCUGGCCAACAUGUCGAAACCCAGUCUCUACUAAAAAUACAAAAACAUUAGCCAGGCAUGGUGGCACAUGCCUGUAGUCCCAGCUACUCAGGAGGCUGAGGCAGGAGAAUCACUUGAACCUGGGAGGCGGAGGUUGCAGUGAGCCAAGAUCACACCACUGCACUCCAGCCUGGGCGACGGAGCAAGACUCUC